AUUGAACGCUGGCGGCAGGCCUAACACAUGCAAGUCGAGCGGAUGAAGGGAGCUUGCUCCUGGAUUCAGCGGCGGACGGGUGAGUAAUGCCUAGGAAUCUGCCUGGUAGUGGGGGAUAACGUCCGGAAACGGGCGCUAAUACCGCAUACGUCCUGAGGGAGAAAGUGGGGGAUCUUCGGACCUCACGCUAUCAGAUGAGCCUAGGUCGGAUUGGCUAGUUGGUGGGGUAAAGGCCUACCAAGGCGACGAUCCGUAACUGGUCUGAGAGGAUGAUCAGUCACACUGGAACUGAGACACGGUCCAGACUCCUACGGGAGGCAGCAGUGGGGAAUAUUGGACAAUGGGCGAAAGCCUGAUCCAGCCAUGCCGCGUGUGUGAAGAAGGUCUUCGGAUUGUAAAGCACUUUAAGUUGGGAGGAAGGGCAGUAAGUUAAUACCUUGCUGUUUGGACGUUACCAACAGAAUAAGCACCGGCUAACUUCGU
rnacentral:rRNA from 1 species